UGUGAAUAUAUGUCUUAAGACGGCAUAUAGAUGAAUAUAUUUGUUAGAUGAAUGAACUGGGGAUAUUGGUUAGGUGACGGGGCGUACAGGUGAAUGGGGUAUAGGUGACAAUAUGAAUGGACAGCAUAUAGGUUAACAUAUUUGGUAGAUGAUUCUCCCUCAGGAUGUCUGUGUCUGACUUUGACUUCAUUUUGUUGUACAGAUUUUAACUGUUCUAAUGGCAUUCAGGUAGGCUAGCGAUCUGAAGUCUCUCUCUAGUGCUGUAUGUCUGUGACCUCCGACCCCUGAUGAACACAGAUUAACUUCCUCUUACCCCUUUUGUUGUUGUUGUUUUCCUCCGUCCCGUUCCAGAUCUGCCUUCUUCAUGUGCAAUAUGUGUGUUGAUGACGAUGCCGAAACUCUGACGUAAAUACAGUCCGAUCUUCAAUUAUUACGUUGGACAGUUUUCUCACAUAACUUUGUUUUAUGUUAGCGUGUUCAUGUCAGCGAGUCAGGGCUCCAUCAUGUGCCAAUCCCCUUCACGGAAACGCAGGAUUCUUACCUGUGAUGUAAUCGCAUAGGCUAUAUAUAAAUGCUGUAAAUAACAGUUUAUGAAGUGUUACUUGAUUCUAUGUAAUUAUUACAAUGAGGACUAUUUUAAUUAUUUCAUGUUAUUUGCUGUGGUUUGUAGUUGAAUCAUCUUGUUCUCUCAUUUUCAUAGUGUUAUUGAAGGCCCAAAACAUGUAGGCCUACAGUUCAAACAGAGAGGGAUAAAACCAAAAUGCUACUUCAACAUAAAAUUGAUACUAAUUCUGACAACUGAAACAAAGAUUGAAGUUGAUUAAAUAUUUAGUUUUUGUUGUAGAAGGUGUAGACCAGUGGUGGUCUGUGUGUGUUCUCUAAAUGCUGUAUAGAUCCUUCUGGAAAGAGAACACACUGAUAAAAAUAUGUAUUUUUCGUGAAAUAAAUUUGGUUAAAGGAGA